UACAGAGGGGGCAAGCGUUGUUCGGAAUUACUGGGCGUAAAGGGCGCGUAGGCGGUUGGAUAAGUCAGCUGUGAAAACCACGGGCUUAACUCGUGGCCUGCAGUUGAGACUGUCUGGCUUGAGUGUGGGAGAGGAGAGUGGAAUUCCUGGUGUAGCGGUGAAAUGCGUAGAUAUCAGGAGGAACACCGGUGGCGAAGGCGGCUCUCUGGACCACAACUGACGCUGAGGCGCGAAAGCUAGGGGAGCAAACAGG
rnacentral:rRNA from 1 species